rnacentral:rRNA from 1 species
AUUAAACGCUGGCGGCAUGCCUUACACAUGCAAGUCGAACGGUAGCGCGGGGCAACCUGGCGACGAGUGGCGAACGGGUGAGUAAAGCAUCGGAACGUGCCCUGGAAUGGGGGAUAACGUAGCGAAAGUUACGCUAAUACCGCAUAUUCUGUGAGCAGGAAAGCAGGGGAUCGCAAGACCUUGCGUUCUGGGAGCGGCCGAUGUCGGAUUAGCUAGUUGGUGGGGUAAAAGCCUACCAAGGCGACGAUCCGUAGCGGGUCUGAGAGGAUGAUCCGCCACACUGGGGACUGAGACACGGCCCAGACUCCUACGGGAGGCAGCAGUGGGGGAAUUUUGGACAAUGGGCGGAAGCCUGAUCCAGCCAUGCCGCGUGAGUGAAGAAGGCCU